rnacentral:rRNA from 1 species
UUUUCCUCAAAUCAGGUAGGACUACCCGCUGAACUUAAGCAUAUCAAU